GAUGAACACUAGCUACAGGCUUAACACAUGCAAGUCGAGGGGCAGCGGUAUCGGAAGCUUGCUUUCGGUAGCCGGCGACCGGCGCACGGGUGAGUAACGCGUAUCGAACCUGCCUCAUACUCGGGAAUAGCCUUGCGAAAGUAAGAUUAAUGCCCGGUGUUUUCAGAGUCCCGCAUGAGGCUUUGAACAAAGAUUUAUCGGUAUGAGAUGGCGAUGCGUCCCAUUAGCUUGUUGGCGGGGUAACGGCCCGCCAAGGCAUCGAUGGGUAGGGGUACUGAGAGGAAGGUCCCCCACACUGGAACUGAGACACGGUCCAAACUCCUACGGGAGGCAGCAGUGAGGAAUAUUGGUCAAUGGGCGGAAGCCUGAACCAGCCAAGUAGCGUGCAGGAAGACGGCCCUCCGGGUUGUAAACUGCUUUUAGUUGGGAAUAAAACGGGGCUCGUGAGCCCCCUUGCAUGUACCAUCAGAAAAAGGACCGGCUAAUUCCGUGCCAGCAGCCGCCGUAA
rnacentral:rRNA from 1 species